AGUUAGAUGCCGGACGAUGUAACUAUCUUAUCUAUUUCAAAAUCACGAAUUCAUUUUUUCGUUCUUUUCAGAAAUUGAUUGAAAGCUUUUGGGGGAAAAAAUAAGAUAGAAGAAAAUACUAACUGGGCCUUAAAAUGGCAGAAAGCCCAAGCUUAUGAAAAAAGUCAACUAGUUCAAACCGAUAUGGUUCGUUGUUCUUGAUUCCUGGGACUCCUCUUGCUCCUUGGGAUAUUCGUUUUCUCUCUGUUAUCCGCACGAAAGUGUGCCGAUCAAUCUCUUCACCAUCUGAUGAUCUCUAUAAUUUUUUUACUCUGUCUCGAAACGACCAGGUUGCAUCAGAAGCUAAUGUGGGCACGCGCAGAUCAAUCCCUGAAGCUAUCAUAUCUGGAUCCUAUUAACAAGGGUGUGUGAAGAUCUCGUAAAAAGCACUUUGACUAUCUGUAACUAAAACCAGGUGGAAAAUGGCUUUCAUGUUUUCGUGGAGGACUGUAAAUUGUAAAUUAAAAGCAUGGUUUGCGUGAGAGGUUGCGAUUUUCUGGAGAAAGUUAUUGUAACGCACAAGAAAAAGGGGUGGAAACAACUUGGUGGGUUUCCUAUGUACGUCUUAGUGCAUUGAUGAUGAUGAAACCAUAUCAGUCCCAUUUGCAAAAAAAAAUAAAUAUAUUUUUGAUUUUUGUUAUUUAAUCUUUAAAAAUUGAGCAGCUAAUAUUAUAAAUAUCAUCUUCUUAAAGAUUUUCUAAACUUGAUUCCAGAUUUUGUUUCAGCUACUAUGCAAAAUUCUAUGAUGGUCAAAAGUAUAACUAUAAUGCACGGAUUAAGACCCCGAUUAAUACUGGCAAACUGAUAGUUGAGCUAUUCCAUCUCUUCUUAGUACCGACUAGAAACUAUACUUUUUAUUUAUUUACAUAACUAUAAAUUUAUGAAACAAUAGAACACAUUAAAAAUACGAGGAAAAGUAAUAAAUAAUAAGAGUCAAAAGACAAGAAAAGAGAGGAUAUGCAACCUUGGCUUUCUAUUUUUCUUUAUAGAAAAGCAACAAAUAAUUGCAAUAAGGCAUAUAUAACUGUGUGAUGAAAAUUGAAAACAUCAUGAAUUUAAUAUACAAACUCCUUUUACGGAUCACUUGAUAUUUCAACUUUAUUUUGGUGCUUCUCAAAAGAGCUUUCGUCUAAAUUCUAUAAGAACCAAAAGAGAAAAAUAAAGGGUUCAAAAACAAUUCGACCAAAAAAGCUCAAAAAAAAUAAAAAUAAAAUAAUGGUUCGACUGGUUGGUACCUAUUUUUUUGAUAAAAAUAAUAAAAUUCAUUACCAAACUUUUAAGGUUUUUUUACAGAACAACAGAAGAACCAAAAACCAGAAAAACUGAAAAUAAUUUAAACAUAGACUCAGAUCUUGCUAAGAGAAUGAACCGACUACAAGUAAAACAACUAACUACCCGGUAAAAUCUGGCAUUUCCAAUAAACAGUCCUUAAAGAUCUAUGUUGUCAAGAACUGCUCACGUAGCCCUUCUAAUCUGCAACCUCCAUGAACAGACAACGAUACUCGUGACCAAGUGCACCCGCUCACACUGAAUUGAGCUUUGUUCGGAUAAGAAACCACCAAAAGCCGCCACAGAUCACUGAACCUACACCAAAAAGACAGAGAAAGCAAGCACCACAUUGAGUUAAAAUGGACAGGAGGCAGUUAUUGAGAAAACAGAUUAUUUAUUUAUUUAAAAAACUAAUUUUUGAGAAAAUUUAGAAAGAAAAGAUAUGACCCGUUUAUUUAUUUAUUUAUUUUUUAGGUAACAUGAUAAGGAUUUUCGUGUUUUACCAUUAAA